UCUCCGUUGGUGAACCGGCGGAGGGAUCAUUACUGGAAUCGCAAGAUCCCACAACCCCUGUGAACCUACCGAAACGUUGCCACGGCGGGCGCCCGGCCCCGCGCCGGGCGCUGAGCCCGCCGGCGGCCCCCUACUCUCGUCUCUGCAGCGUGGCAUCUCAGAGUCCCGGAAAACAAGUAAAAACUUUCAACAACGGAUCUCUUGGCUCUA
rnacentral:misc_RNA from 1 species